AAAAGGACAUUCCUAAAUUUACUAUGGUUUAUGAUUUCUUAUUUUAUUACAUGUAUUAUAAUUUUAACACAUCAUUUUUGCCAAAUUAAUAGCAAAAUUUUAGAAGAAGAUGAGAAGCUUUGUAUUCAAUAAUAGCUCAAUGCCAAUUCA
rnacentral:miRNA from 1 species